rnacentral:rRNA from 1 species
AUUGAACGCUGGCGGCAGGCCUAACACAUGCAAGUCGAGCGAGCGGCGGACGGGUGAGUAAUGUAUGGGGACUGCCCGAUCGAGGGGGAUAACUACUGGAAACGGUGGCUAAUACCGCAUACUAUCGGAUAACCCAUAUGGGAUUAGCUAGUAGGUGGGGUAAAGGCUCACCUAGGCGACGAUCGCUCGCUGGUCCGAGAGGAUGAACAUCCAAACUGGGCUGGGGACACGGCCCAGACUCCUACGGGGGCAGCAGUGGGGAACAUUGCAAAAUGGGCGCAAGCCGGAGACAGCCAUGCCGCGUGGAUGAAGAAGGCCUUAGGGUUGUAAAGUACUUUCAGCGGGGAGGCGUUACCCGCAGAAGAAGCCCCGGCUAACUCCGUGCCAGCAGCCGCGGUAAUAC